rnacentral:rRNA from 1 species
UGGGGAAUAUUGCACAAUGGGCGCAAGCCUGAUGCAGCCAUGCCGCGUGUAUGAAGAAGGCCUUCGGGUUGUAAAGUACUUUCAGCGGGGAGGAAGGGAGUAAAGUUAAUACCUUUGCUCAUUGACGUUACCCGCAGAAGAAGCACCGGCUAACUCCGUGCCAGCAGCCGCGGUAAUACGGAGGGUGCAAGCGUUAAUCGGAAUUACUGGGCGUAAAGCGCACGCAGGCGGUUGAUUGAGUCAGAUGUGAAAUCCCCGGGCUUAACCCGGGAAUUGCAUCUGAUACUGGUCAGCUAGAGUCCUGUAGAGGGGGGUAGAAUUCCAUGUGUAGCGGUGAAAUGCGUAGAGAUGUGGAGGAAUACCGGUGGCGAAGGCGGCCCCCUGGACAAAGACUGACGCUCAGGUGCGAAAGCGUGGGGAGCAAACAGG